rnacentral:misc_RNA from 1 species
UCCCGGUUAACCCGGGCAGUCUCGCUAGAGUUCCCACCUAAUAUGUUGGCAACUAACGAUAAGGGUUGCGCUCGUUGCGGGACUUAACCCAACACCUCACGGCACGAGCUGACGACAGCCAUGCAGCACCUGUGCAGCGGUCCCGAAGGAACUUCUCAUCUCUGAAAAUGUCCACUGCAUGUCAAGCCUGGGUAAGGUUCUUCGCGUUGCAUCGAAUUAAACCACAUGCUCCACUGCUUGUGCGGGUCCCCGUCAAUUCUUUUGAGUUUCAGCCUUGCGACUGUACUUCCCAGGCGGUAUACUUAACGCGUUAGCUCCGGCACAGCCAGGGUUGAUUCCGGCUACACCAAGUAUACAUAGUUUACGGCAAGGACUAC